GGAUGUAGCUCAGUGAUAGAGUGCUUGCCUUGCAUGCAUGAGGCCCUGGGUUCGAUUCCUCAGUACCA
rnacentral:tRNA from 1 species